rnacentral:rRNA from 1 species
CCUGCCCUUCAGAGGGGGACAACAGUUGGAAACGACUGCUAAUACCGCAUACGAUCUAACCUCGGCAUCGAGGAUAGAUGAAAGGUGGCCUCUAUUUAUAAGCUAUCACUGAAGGAGGGGAUUGCGUCUGAUUAGCUAGUUGGAGGGGUAACGGCCCACCAAGGCGAUGAUCAGUAGCCGGUCUGAGAGGAUGAACGGCCACAUUGGGACUGAGACACGGCCCAG